GAGCUAGCACAGCAACUCAUCUGUCGAGGGAGUGGUGCUGUGGUGGUGGUGGUCAUGGACUCAUUGGGCAUGGCCGCCUCGUCCGAGCCAAAGGCAUGUGAAGCGCUCGGAGUCAGAGAGACCAGGGCUGGGCUGGCGUCUGCUCGCUUCCCGAGAGAACCCCUUGUGAAGAUUCGAGCCAACCCCUUCCCCCUUCCUCUUCUCUCUCUUUUUCUCUCGCUUCUCCUCUUCUUUAAAGCAUGGACCAGCGCCUAGUAGCAUCUCCAUCCACGGCAGUAGGCAGCCGGUGCCAUGGGAGGGGGGAAGUAGGAGGGUUUUUCUUCUUCUUCUUUCUUCUCUCUCGUUUUCUCGCAGAAUCAUCUGUGUGCAGAUUCCAUGCUUUUCGUUAGGGUUAGCCUAUUGUGCUAAGCUUGUUUUUUCUUCCAUGGCUUCUUGUUCUUAUUCGUUUGGUUAUGUUGAGCUGUUCUUGUCGUUGCUGGAAAGUGUUGUGGACGUUGAGCUCCUUUCGGUCC
rnacentral:sRNA from 1 species